UACGUACCGUCCAAACGUUAUUCGGAAUCACUGGGCUUAAAGAGUUCGUAGGCGGCUCAGAAAGUUGGGUGUGAAAUCCCUCGGCUCAACCGAGGAAUUGCGCUCAAAACUACUGGGCUAGAGGGAGAUAGAGGUGAGCGGAACUGAUGGUGGAGCGGUGAAAUGCGUUGAUAUCAUCAGGAACACCGGUGGCGAAGGCGGCCACCUGGACGGUAACUGACGCUGAGACGCGAAAGCGUGGGGAGCAAACAGG
rnacentral:rRNA from 1 species